UACGUAGGGUGCAAGCGUUAAUCGGAAUUACUGGGCGUAAAGCGUGCGCAGGCGGUGAUGUAAGACAGGUGUGAAAUCCCCGGGCUAACCUGGGAACUGCAUUUGUGACUGCAUCGCUGGAGUGCGGCAGAGGGGGAUGGAAUUCCGCGUGUAGCAGUGAAAUGCGUAGAUAUGCGGAGGAACACCGAUGGCGAAGGCAAUCCCCCUGGGCCUGCACUGACGCUCAUGCACGAAAGCGUGGGGAGCAAACAGG
rnacentral:rRNA from 1 species